rnacentral:rRNA from 1 species
ACGAACGCUGGCGGCGUGCCUAAUACAUGCAAGUCGAGCGGAAUGAUGAAGAAGCUUGCUUCUUCUGAUUUUAGCGGCGGACGGGUGAGUAACACGUGGGCAACCUACCUUGUAGAUUGGGAUAACUCCGGGAAACCGGGGCUAAUACCGAAUAAUCCAUUUUGCUUCAUGGCGAGAUGCUGAAAGACGGUUUCGGCUGUCACUAUAAGAUGGGCCCGCGGCGCAUUAGCUAGUUGGUAGGGUAAUGGCCUACCAAGGCGACGAUGCGUAGCCGACCUGAGAGGGUGAUCGGCCACACUGGGACUGAGACACGGCCCAGACUCCUACGGGAGGCAGCAGUAGGGAAUCUUCCACAAUGGACGAAAGUCUGAUGGAGCAACGCCGCGUGAGUGAAGAAGGUUUUCGGAUCGUAAAACUCUGUUGUAAGGGAAGAACACGUACGAGAGUAACUGCUCGUACCUUGACGGUACCUUAUUAGAAAGCCACGGCUAACUACGUG